ensembl:lncRNA novel transcript
ACUUUCACUUUAAUAAAUCUUGCCACUGCACACUCUUUGGGUCUGUGUGUUUCUCUAAUCGAGCUGUAACACUCAUCACUGCAGUCCACAGCUUCAUUUCUUGAAGCCUGUGAGACCACGAACCCUUCAAUCGAGAAAAACCUUCGAUAAGGAGAAGACUUCUCAUCUCAUUUCUGGGGUCUGGUCCGGGAUUUCUCCAAAGCGAAUAGAAUCCAUGAAGCUGCAAAUGGUUCUACAAAUGGAGCCCCAAGUGACCACCACUAGCACCUACUAUCAAGCACCCCUAGACCCACCCACCAACCUGUUCUCACACCACGACACCAAAGACUCCCCUCCUGAGGAAACCUCAACUGCAGUGCCCCUUCUACCCCCCAGUUCAGCAGGAAGUAGCUAGAACAAUCGUCAUCCAACUUCCCAACAGCACUUGGGCUUUCCUGUUGAAAGGGGGGACUGAGGGACUAAGUGGCUAAAUUGGCUGGACUUCCUGGGUCAAUAGGGACUUCCCUAAAGUGACUUUCCCCUAAGCCAAAAUGAGUCAUAGCUGCAAGCUAAGAGAUUAAAACUUCAACCAAUCAAAGGGGAUUUUCCCCUAAGCCAAAAUUAGUCAUAGCUGCAAGCUAAAGGGAUUGAAACUUCAACC